CCUACGGGUGGCAGCAGUGGGGAAUAUUGGACAAUGGGGGCAACCCUGAUCCAGCCAUGCCGCGUGUGUGAAGAAGGCCCUCGGGUUGUAAAGCACUUUCAGUGAGGAAGAACGCCUGGUGGUUAAUACCCAUCAGGAAAGACAUCACUCACAGAAGAAGCACCGGCUAACUCCGUGCCAGCAGCCGCGGUAAUACGGAGGGUGCGAGCGUUAAUCGGAAUUACUGGGCGUAAAGCGCGCGUAGGUGGCUUGAUAAGCCGGUUGUGAAAGCCCCGGGCUCAACCUGGGAACGGCAUCCGGAACUGUCAAGCUAGAGUGCAGGAGAGGAAGGUAGAAUUCCCGGUGUAGCGGUGAAAUGCGUAGAGAGCGGGAGGAAUACCAGUGGCGAAGGCGGCCUUCUGGACUGACACUGACACUGAGGUGCGAAAGCGUGGGUAGCAAACAGGAUUAGAUACCCGAGUAGUC
rnacentral:rRNA from 1 species